AAAAAAAAAAAAAAAAAAAAAUCUCCCAGGUGAGGAUAUUGUCUUGUGUCUCUUGCACCUUGAACUGUUCCUGGCACAUUGUAGGUACUCAAUCAAUAUUUGUCAAACAAAUAAAUGAAUGCCAAUGUUCACUAAGUCCUUGGGAUUUGCAGAACCCACUUCUACUGCCCCAAACCUUCAGCAAGUUCUAUUAUCCCCAUUUUACAGAUGAAGAAACUGAGGCUGGGAGAGGGCCGUGCCCCUGCCCAGAGUCAUGUAGCUGGCCUAGGAUGGAUGUGGAAUCCUGCCCCAGCAGUGGUGGUAUUAUUAUUACACCCAUAUUACAGAUAUAGAAGACUGAGGCUCAGCAUGGGUACCUUGCCAUGAUCACACAACUAGAGGAUAGGAGAGGCUGGCUCUGCCUCCUAUGCCACUCCUGAUCCACUCUCCAAACCCUCCUCCAGUCCCCUGCUCCAAGCCAUCAGUUAGGAUGAUUCUUAUAGCCGGGGGUGUGACAUGCCAAAGGUGUCUCUACCCCACAUACUCCCUCUGGAACCAGGACAAGGUUUGCGUGAGGUGGACCUGGGUUCUUUCUGGACCAGGGACUUUGCCUCCAAGCUCAUUUCCUCAUCUGUAAAACAGGAAUCCAACCAACGUCAGCCUGAAUGGGCUGUGGUGGGGUCCUGAGGGGGUUAGGACCUUGCAUGUAAAUGUGGAGACCCCAGGGGUCAGGCCUGGAGUCUGCCUCCCUGCUGGGUAGCCUCGGGCGUGUACAUCUUUGUCUCCACCUCAUGGAAUCACUGUGAGAAUAAAAUGAACAUCAGAUCUUGGCACAGAGCUGGGUACGUACGUACUUGGUACUCACUACGCGAGUUACUUUUUUCCCUCUAUUUUUAUGCAAUAAGUGUAACAUUUAUUGAAUACUUACUCCAUUCCAUCUGUGCCGGGCCCUGUUAUAAGUAGCCACAUUUAUGAACUCCUUGAACCUAUAAUAGUGGUUCUCAAAGUGUGGUCUGGGGCUGGGCGUGGUGGCUCACGCCUGAAAUCUCAACACUUUGGGAAGCUGAGGCGGGAGGAUCGCUUGAGGCCAGGAGUUCAAGACUGGCCUGGGCAACACAGUGAGAUCCCAUCUCCAAAAAGAAAUAAAAAAUUAGCCGGGCGUGGUGGCUUACACCUGUAGUCCAAGCUACUCAGAAGGCUGAGGUGGGAGGAUGGCUUGAGCACAGGAGGUCGAAGCUGCUGUGAGCCAUGUUUGUGCCACUGCACUCCAGCCUGGGCGACAGAGACCCUAACUUAAAACAAACAAACAAAAAACCAAAGUGUCGUCUGGGAUGGCACCAUGAGCAACUCCUGGGAACUCGUUAUAAAGGCAGAAUCCCAGCCCUGCCCCAGACCUACUGAACCAGAAAUUUGGAGGGAGGGGCCCACAGUCUGUUUUUCAUCAAGCUCUCCAGGAGAUUCGAAUGCAGCUCAAGUUUGAGAACCACUGCCUUCUAACAACCCUGAGAGACAGCUACUGCCAUUCUACCCAUUGCACAGGAAAGCUCACUGGAGCUCCAGGGGGCUGACCUGCUGCAUUUACACCACUGCUAGGAAGCAGGAUUUGAACUCCAGCUACCACGGUCUGUCCCCGGAGUUCCUGCGUUGACCUCAGAUGAUGUAAAGCUUGUGUAAGAUGCUGCGGGAAUUCCAGAUCGUUUCAGUGACUAUGGCCCCAGAACACAGACAGAGGUCCCCUCCCCACCAUGGCAGGAUCUGAGUGCAACAGGAGGCUCCCACCCACUCCCAGGGCCCCACAGGCACAGCCACAGCCACUUCUGACCCUUUAUUGGGGCACUGUCGGCCCCAAAUAAAUAUAAUACAUUAAACCCAGAGCUGAGGGAAUCGUGCACCCCAGGAGGCCGGGCCAGCUCCCUGGUCUAAAGUGCAUC
rnacentral:lncRNA from 10 species